AGUGAACGCUGGCGGCGUGCUUAACACAUGCAAGUCGAACGAGAACGGAUUAUAGCUUGCUAUAAUUGUCAGCUAAGUGGCGCACGGGUGAGUAAUGUAUAGGUAAUAUGCCUCUUACUAAGGGAUAACAAAUGGAAACGUUUGCUAAUACCUUAUACUCCUUAUUAACAGAAGUUAAUAAGGGAAAGAUUUAUUGGUAAGAGAUUAGCCUGUAUUGUAUCAGUUAGUUGGUGGGGUAAUGGCUUACCAAGACUAUGACACAUAACUGGUUUGAGAGGAUGUUCAGUCAAACUGGAACGGAGACACGGUCCAGACUCCUGCGGGAGGUAGCAGUGGGGAAUAUUGCACAAUGGACGAAAGUCUGAUGCAGCAACGCCGCGUGGAGGAUGACACAUUUCGGUGCGUAAACUCCUUUUAUAUGAGAAGAUAAUGACGGUAUUAUAUGAAUAAGCACCGGCUAACUCCGUGCCAGCAGCCGCCGCCG
rnacentral:rRNA from 1 species